rnacentral:ncRNA from 2 species
GGCGAACGACAGGGGAGCGUCGGACCCAACGGUCUGGACGCUGAGAGUGCGGAGAACCGCAGACCCUCGAACCUGAUCCGGUUGAUACCGGCGUAGGGAGUCGGGCUUCUCAGUCC